rnacentral:tRNA from 1 species
GUUUCCAUAGUGUAGUGGUUAUCACGUUUGCCUCACACGCGAAAGGUCCCCAGUUCGAAACUGGGUGGAAACA